CACAAAGCAGCGGAAUGAUAUAUAUACCACGCUCUCUUCUCCAUAAAUCUACACUGCAAAAAUUCUGACCUCUGAAAGUUGCUUUUCCUUUCUUAAACGUGCUUCUAGUUCCAACACUUAUCUACUGGCAAAACCUGCCCUGAGCUGCCACAAGGCUCUGUGUGAUCUUGAUUUAUCUCACUUAUUGUGAACGUUCAUGUGUUUUACUGAGGAAAAUUUUUAAAAAAUUUUUAUUGGAGUAUAGUUGAUUUACAAUGUUGUGUUAGUUUCGGUGCACAGCAAAGUGACUCAGUUAUACAUAUAUCCACUCUUUUUUUUAGAUUCUGUUCUCAUACAGGCCACGGAGGAAACCUUAAUGAUGACUUGGAUUGUGGGUCUGUCCUGGAAUCUGCUGGAGAUACAAUACGGUGCAUAGAAGGUACGCUAUGGUACUUCUCUAGAACCUGGAAAAUUCUGAAUUCUGAAAUACAUCUGGUCCCAGGGGAUUCAGUAACAUGGAUGGAUUGGAGGGCAGUAUGCCAAGUGAAUAAGUCCAACAGAGAAAGACAAACACGGUAUGAUCUCACUUAUACGUGGAAUCUAAAAAAACACAACAAAACACGGAGCUCAGAGGCCGGAGGUGGGUGUGGGGAUGGGAGGGUGAAAUGGGUGAAAUGGAUCAAAAGAUACAAAUUUCCAGUUAUAAAAUAAGCAAGUCAUGGGGAUGUAAUGUAUGUAUAUUUGAAAGCUGCUAUGAGAGUAGUCUUAAAAGUUCUCAUCGUAAGAAAAAAAAUUUUAUGUUAACUAGACCUAUUGUGGUGAUCAUUUCACAGUAUAUACACUGUAUUAUGAAAUACAAUAUAUUUCACAAAUAUUGAAUCAUUAUAUUGUAACCUGAUGCUAAUAUAAUGUUACAUGUCAAUUAUAUCUCAAUUUAAAAAAUGACUUGUGACCUGCAAAUCCAGAAGAAGCUUUGGUAAAGAUUUACAUGCACCUGAUUGGGGUCAAAAUUCAGCGGCCGAGCUGAAAACUGUGCCCUCGUGGAAUGACAGAUCGCAUGUGCUCAAAAGAUGCAUUUAAGCAACUGGUUGAGAUUCUGACGGAGGUCAACAGCUCUUUACAAUUAGAUGAAGGUGUGGACUUUGAUGAUUCAACCAUUUUUAUACACUUUGUUCUAUUUAUAAUGAGAAUGCAAUACUAUUAACAUAUUUUCAUUGAUUCUAAGAUACAACCCCUGCCCCCCUGUACACACACUUUUAGCAGCUGUGUAAUUGGGAUGUCUUAUGAUCAAUGUGUCAAGUCAUAACAUGGUUGUCAUUGCCUGACAGAUCCAGAGAGUAGCACCCUUAAAAGAAACACUCCCUCAUCGAUGCCACUGAUUGCCUGGAAGCCUACUUCGGGUUGAAAAUAUGCGCCCUGACAGCCUUGAGCUGAAAAUCACUAAGAAGAUUUGGUCUCUGUGAAGAAGUUUUCGAGAAUAACUUAACCAAUUUUUUUUUCACUUACACCUUCCUCUUUAGGUGGGCCCAAGGGCGACAUGUGAUAUACCUAAACAAGUACUUUUGAUAAACCUAAAAUAAAAAUGUUGAGCUAAAGCAUUG